rnacentral:piRNA from 1 species
UAAAAGUAUGUGUACUGGCUGGUCUU